GCCAGGCACAGUGUUGCGUGCCUGUAAUCCCAGCUACUCAGGAGGCUGAGGUGGGAGGAUCGCUUGAGUCCAGAGUUCUGGGCUGUAGAGCGCUGUGCCGAUCAGGUGUCCGCACUAAGUCUGGCAUCAAUAUGGUGACCUCCCAGGAGUGCGGGAACCACCAGGUUGCCUAAGGUGGGGUGAACCCGCCCAGGUCAGAAACGAAGAAGGUCAAAACUCCCAUGCUGAUCAGUAGUGGGAUUGCACCUAUGAAUAGCCACUGCACUCCAUCCUGGGCAACAUAGCAAGACCCCAUCUCU
rnacentral:SRP_RNA from 1 species